CUACGGGACGCUGCAGUGAGGAAUAUUGCACAAUGGGGGGAACCCUGAUGCAGCAACGCCGCGUGGAGGAUGACGCAUUUCGGUGUGUAAACUCCUUUUAUAUGUCAAGAAAAUGACGGUAGCAUAUGAAUAAGCACCGGCUAACUCCGUGCCAGCAGCCGCGGUAAUACGGCGGGUGCAAGCAUUACUCGGAAUCACUGGGCGUAAAGGACGCGUAGGCGGGUUGGAAAGUCAGGUGUGAAAUCCUACAGCUUAACUGUAGAACUGCACUUGAAACUUCUAAUCUAGAGUAUGGGAGGGGGAGAUGGAAUUAGUGGUGUAGGGGUAAAAUCCGUAGAUAUCACUAGGAAUACCUAAAGCGAAGGCGAUCUCCUGGAACAUUACUGACGCUAAGGCGUGAAAGCGUGGGGAGCAAACAGGAUUAGAUACCCCCGUAGUC
rnacentral:rRNA from 1 species